AGUGAACGCUGGCGGUAGGCCUAACACAUGCCAGUCGAACGGCAGCACAGUAAGAGCUUGCUCUUACGGGUGGUGAGUGGCGGACGGGUGAGGAAUACAUCGGAAUCUACUUUUUCGUGGGGGAUAACGUAGGGAAACUUACGCUAAUACCGCAUACGACCUACGGGUGAAAGCAGGGGAUCUUCGGACCUUGCGCGAUUGAAUGAGCCGAUGUCGGAUUAGCUAGUUGGCGGGGUAAAGGCCCACCAAGGCGACGAUCCGUAGCUGGUCUGAGAGGAUGAUCAGCCACACUGGAACUGAGACACGGUCCAGACUCCUACGGGAGGCAGCAGUGGGGAAUAUUGGACAAUGGGCGCAAGCCUGAUCCAGCCAUACCGCGUGGGUGAAGAAGGCCUUCGGGUUGUAAAGCCCUUUUGUUGGGAAAGAAAAGCAGCAGGUUAAUACCCCGCUGUUCUGACGGUACCCAAAGAAUAAGCACCGGCUAACUUCGUG
rnacentral:rRNA from 1 species